rnacentral:rRNA from 1 species
GACGAACGCUGGCGGCGUGGAUUAGGCAUGCAAGUCGAACGGUAUCAUCCUUUCGGGGGUGAGAGAGUGGCGAACUGGUGAGUAACACGUAGGUUAUCUACCCUCAAGACGGGGACAACCCAGGGAAACUUGGGCUAAUACCGGAUGUGAGCAACUUUUAGUUGUUUGAAAGGUGGCGUAAGCUGUCGCUUGGGGAUGAGCCUGCGUCCUAUUAGUUAGUUGGUGAGGUAACGGCUCACCUAGGCAAUGAUAGGUAGGCGGCCUUAACGGGUGGUCGCCCACACUGGGAUUGAGAUACGGCCCAGACUCCUACGGGAGGCAGCAGUCGAGAAUAGUCUACAAUGGUCGGAGGACUGAUAGUGCGACGCCGCGUGAACGAUGAAUCCCUUCGGGGUGUAAAGUUCUUUUAUAUGUGAGCAGUGCUUCUUAUAUUAACAGUAUGGGGAGAGAGAUAUUAGCAUAUGAAUAAGCAACGGCUAACUCCGUGCCAGCAGCCGCGGUAAACGUGU